rnacentral:rRNA from 1 species
UGCAGCCGCGGUAAUUCCAGCUCCAAUAGCGUAUAUUAAAGUUGUUGCAGUUAAAAAGCUCGUAGUUGAAUUUCGGGGUUAGUAGGUUGGUCAUGCCUCUGGUAUGUACUGGUCUCACUGAUUCCUCCUUCCUGAUGAGCCGUAAUGCCAUUAAUUUGGUGUUGCGGGGAAUUUGGACUGUUACUUUGAAAAAAUUAGAGUGUUUAAAGCAAGCUAACGCUUGAAUACAUUAGCAUGGAAUAAUGAAAUAGGACGUUCGAUCCUAUUUUGUUGGUUUCUAGGAUUGACGUAAUGAUUAAUAGGGAUAGUUGGGGGCAUUAGUAUUCAAUUGUCAGAGGUGAAAUUCUUGGAUUUAUUGAAGACUAACUACUGCGAAAGCAUUUGCCAAGGAUGUUUUCAUUAAUCAAGAACGAAAGUUAGGGGAUCGAAGACGAUCAGAUACCGUCGUAG